CCUACGGGUGGCAGCAGUGAGGAAUAUUGGUCAAUGGGCGGAAGCCUGAACCAGCCAAGUAGCGUGAGGGAUGAAGGCCCUACGGGUUGUAAACCGCUUUUGCAAAGGGAUAAAACCCUGCACGUGUGCCGGUCUGCAGGUACCGUGCGAAUAAGCGUCGGCUAAUUCCGUGCCAGCAGCCGCGGUAAUACGGAGGUGCCGAGCGUUAUCCGGAUUUAUUGGGUUUAAAGGGAGCGUAGGCGGGCGUUUAAGUCAGCGGUAAAAGCCCGGGGCUCAACCGCGGCCCGCCGUUGAAACUGGGUGUCUUGAGGUGACGACAGGCAGGCGGAAUGCGUGGUGUAGCGGUGAAAUGCAUAGAUAUCACGAAGAACCCCGAUUGCGAAGGCAGCCUACCGGCGUGCGACUGACGCUGAGGCACGAAAGUGCGGGUAUCAAACAGGAUUAGAUACCCGGGUAGUC
rnacentral:rRNA from 1 species